GACGAACCGUGCGAACGUUGUUCGGAAUCACUGGGCAUAAAGGGCGCGUAGGCGGCUUUUCAAGUCAGGGGUGAAAUCCGGCAGCUCAACUGUCGAAGUGCCCUUGAUACUGAGGAGCUCGAGGGAGGUAGGGGUGUGUGGAACUUCCGGUGGGGCGGUGAAAUGCGUUGAUAUCGGAAGGAACGCCGGUGGCGAAAGCGACGCACUGGACCUCUUCUGACGCUGAGGCGCGAAAGCCAGGGGAGCAAACGGG
rnacentral:rRNA from 1 species